GGGAGAUGGCUCAGUUGGGAAAGCGCUUGCCACACAAGCAGGAAGACCUGAGUUCAAUUCUCAGUGCCCA
rnacentral:tRNA from 1 species